rnacentral:rRNA from 1 species
CCUACGGGAGGCUGCAGUGAGGAAUAUUGGUCAAUGGACGCAAGUCUGAACCAGCCAUGCCGCGUGCAGGAAGACGGCUCUCUGAGUUGUAAACUGCUUUUGUACGAGGGUAAACGCAGAUACGAGUAUCUGUCUGAAAGUAUCGUACGAAUAAGAAGAGGCUAACUCCGUUCCAGCCGCCGAGGUACUACGGAGGAUACAAGCGUUAUUCGGAUUUAUUGGGUGUAAAGGGAACGCAGGCGGUCGGAUAAGUUAGAGGUGAAAUCCCGAGGCUCAACUUCGGAAUUGCAUCUGAUACUGGUCGGCUUGAGAGUAGUUGCGGGAGGUGGAAUGUAUGGUGUAGCGGUGAAAUGCUUAGAGAUCAGACAGAACACCGAUUGCGAAGGCAGCUUACUAAGCUACUUCUGACGUUGAGGUACGAAAGCGUGGGGAGCAAACAGGAUUAGAUACCCUGGUAGUC